UGUGUAGGAGGAGAGAUAUAUUCCUUCACAAUCCAUGGCUUGUGGCCUCAGAAGGGAAGAAACUCAGUAACUAACUACCGGGGCACCUCCUUUGUUUAUAAAUAGGACAAUGUGUAGGAGGAGGGAUAAAUUACAUCACAAUCCAUUGUUUGUGCCUCCAAAGGGAAGAAACUCGGUAACUAACUGCCGGGUCACCUCCUUUCUUUAUAAACAGGACAAUGUGUAGGAGGAGGGAUAAAUUACAUCACAAUCCAUUGCUUGUGCCUCCAAAGGGA